GAUUUCGAGUAAUCGCUGCAAACGUUCUAUGUUUGUAGAGGAAAGUCCAUGCUCACACGGCUCUGAGAUGACCGUAGUGUUCGUGCUUACCGAAAAAAUAAGGUAAGGCAAAGCUCUUGCAGCUUUGACGGCGGAAGGAAGACCUAAGUCGCAACUGGCGAUAUGGUCGACACUUCCUGAAAAGUGCCACAGUGACGUAGCUUCACUGGAAACGGUGAAGGUGGAACGCGGUAAACCCCACGAGUGAGAAACCCAAAUUAUGGUAGGGGCGCCCCCCCGAAGGAAAUGAACGGAGGGGGGGACGGGGAGGAUUUCUUCCCGUAGAUAGAUGAUUACUACCUGACAGUACGAGGCGAAAGCCGUUCGAGUACGCAGGGACAGAACAUGGCUUAUAGAA
rnacentral:RNase_P_RNA from 1 species